UACGUAGGGGGCAAGCGUUGUCCGGAUUUCUUGGGCGUAAAGAGCGUGUAGGCGGCUGGGUAGGUCCGUUGUGAAAACUCGAGGCUCAACCUCGAGACGCCGAUGGAAACCCUCCAGCUAGAGUCCGGAAGAGGAGAGUGGAAUUCCUGGUGUAGCGGUGAAAUGCGCAGAUAUCAGGAAGAACACCCGUGGCUAAGGCGGCUCUCUAGUACGGUACUGACGCUGAGACGCGAAAGCGUGGGGAGCGAACAGG
rnacentral:rRNA from 1 species